CCUACGGGAGGCAGCAGUGAGGAAUAUUGGUCAAUGGACGCAAGGCUGAACCAGCCAUGUCGCGUGCAGGAAGACGGCUCUAUGAGUUGUAAACUUCUUUUGUACGGGGGUAAACGCAGACACGCGUGUCUGUCUGAAAGUAUCGUAUGAAUAAGGAUCGGCUAACUCCGUGCCAGCAGCCGCGGUAAUACGGAGGAUUCAAGCGUUAUCCGGAUUUAUUGGGUUUAAAGGGUGCGUAGGCGGUCGGAUAAGUUAGAGGUGAAAGUCCGAGGCUCAACUGCAGAAUUGCCGGUGAUACUGGUCGGCUAGAGUGUAGUUGCGGUAGGCGGAAUGCAUGGUGUAGCGGUGAAAUGCUUAGAGAUCACACAGAACACCGAUUGCGAAGGCAGCUUACCAAGCUACUACUGACGUUGAGGCACGAAAGCGUGGGGAGCAAACAGGAUUAGAUACCCCAGUAGUC
rnacentral:rRNA from 1 species